GUAAGAACAGCUUGAAGAAUAUAAUUGAUUCUUUGCGGUUACUAUCUUUUGUUUCCUUAUGCCAGAUUUACUCAAAUAUAGCUGUUAUGGCAGGUAAUCGGAAUUUCUCCUUUGCUUUACCUUUCUAUACAGGAGUACAGGUAGACAAUUGCAUAAGCACUUGGCAAGCGAAAGGAUCAACUACGAUAUUAUACCAAGUCAUGAACAGUGCAUCGAGGCUACCUGAUGACAUUCUUACGAUAUACAUGUGUGUGCCUGAAAUUUAAACUUUCUUCUACUUCAGAGGCUACAUGAUGACAUUCUUGCUGGUUGCUGCUGCUAGCUGCUGUGCUACCUGGUGUAUUCUUUUCUUGCAAUUUUGCUCCUAGCUUCUAUGCCAAGCUAAUAUGUGGUGUGGUGUGGUGUGGUGUAUAUAUGUAACUAGCUAGCCUAUAAUCCUACUCGGUACGCUUACGCUCGGAGAGAAAAUCGGAGAUGUUGCGAUGGCACAACCGUGAUGUAAGCGGUGGACGGACGGACGGACGGACGAACGGAAAUGGCUGUUGAAGCAUAUUUCAGUUGCAUAUUUGUUUUUCCUACUACAGUUGACUAAUGCAGAUGAUGUGAACUACAGUAAUCUGUAUGUGACCAGCAUGUUCAUAUUACAGAUCAUGUUGACAUAGAGGAAGCAUAUUAUGUGCUAACAAUUUCUGAA